rnacentral:rRNA from 1 species
GACGAACGCUGGCGGCGUGCUUAACACAUGCAAGUCGAACGGACCCUUUGGGGUUAGUGGCGAACGGGUGAGUAACACGUGGGUGAUCUGCCCUGCACUUUGGGAUAAGCCUGGGAAACUGGGUCUAAUACCGGAUAGGACUACGCACUGCAUGGUGUGUGGUGGAAAGCUUUUGCGGUGUGGGAUGGGCCCGCGGCCUAUCAGCUUGUUGGUGGGGUGAUGGCCUACCAAGGCGACCACGGGUAGCCGGCCUGAGAGGGUGACCGGCCACACUGGGACUGAGAUACGGCCCAGACUCCUACGGGAGGCAGCAGUGGGGAAUAUUGCACAAUGGGCGCAAGCCUGAUGCAGCGACGCCGCGUGAGGGAUGACGGCCUUCGGGUUGUAAACCUCUUUCGCCAGGGACGAAGCGCAAGUGACGGUACCUGGAGAAGAAGGACCGGCCAACUACGUGCCAGCAGCCGCGGUAAUACGUAGGGUCCGAGCGUUGUCCGGAAUUACUGGGCGUAAAGAGCUCGUAGGUGGUUUGUCGCGUUGUUCGUGAAAACUCACAGCUUAGCUGUGGGCGUGCGGGCGAUACGGGCAGACUGGAGUACUGCAGGGGAGACUGGAAUUCCUGGUGUAGCGGUGGAAUGCGCAGAUAUCAGGAGGAACACCGGUGGCGAAGGCGGGUCUCUGGGCAGUAACUGACGCUGAGGAGCGAAAGCGUGGGGAGCGAACAGGAUUAGAUACCCUGGUAGUCCACGCCGUAAACGGUGGGUACUAGGUGUGGGUUUCCUUCCUUGGGAUCCGUGCCGUAGCUAACGCAUUAAGUACCCCGCCUGGGGAGUACGGCCGCAAGGCUAAAACUCAAAGGAAUUGACGGGGGCCCGCACAAGCGGCGGAGCAUGUGGAUUAAUUCGAUGCAACGCGAAGAACCUUACCUGGGUUUGACAUGCGCAGGACGCCGGCAGAGAUGUCGGUUCCCUUGUGGCCUGUGUGCAGGUGGUGCAUGGCUGUCGUCAGCUCGUGUCGUGAGAUGUUGGGUUAAGUCCCGCAACGAGCGCAACCCUUGUCUCAUGUUGCCAGCACGUUAUGGUGGGGACUCGUGAGAGACUGCCGGGGUCAACUCGGAGGAAGGUGGGGAUGACGUCAAGUCAUCAUGCCCCUUAUGUCCAGGGCUUCACACAUGCUACAAUGGCCGGUACAAAGGGCUGCGAUGCCGUGAGGUGGAGCGAAUCCUUUCAAAGCCGGUCUCAGUUCGGAUCGGGAUCUGCAACUCGACCCCGUGAAGUCGGAGUCGCUAGUAAUCGCAGAUCAGCAACGCUGCGGUGAAUACGUUCCCGGGCCU